rnacentral:tRNA from 1 species
AGCGAGGUAGGGUAGCAUGGAGUGCCCGCCGGGCUCAUAACCCGGAGAUCGGUGGUUCAAAUCCACCUCUCGCUA